rnacentral:rRNA from 1 species
GAUGAACGCUGGCGGCGUGCCUAAUACAUGCAAGUCGAGCGAAUGGAUUAAGAGCUUGCUCUUAUGAAGUUAGCGGCGGACGGGUGAGUAACACGUGGGUAACCUGCCCAUAAGACUGGGAUAACUCCGGGAAACCGGGGCUAAUACCGGAUAACAUUUUGAACCGCAUGGUUCGAAAUUGAAAGGCGGCUUCGGCUGUCACUUCUGGAUGGACCCGCGUCGCAUUAGCUAGUUGGUGAGGUAACGGCUCACCAAGGCAACGAUGCGUAGCCGACCGGAGAGGGUGAUCGGUAGCACUGGGACUGAGGCACGGCCCAGACUCCUACGGGAGGCAGCAGUGGGGAAUCUUCCGCAAUGGACGAAAGUCUGACGGAGCAACGCCGCGUGAGUGAUGAAGGCUGUCGGGUCGUAAAACUCUGUUGUUAGGGAAGAACAAGUGCUAGUUGAAUAAGCUGACACCUUGACGGUACCUAACCAGAAAGCCACGGCUAACUACGUGCCAGCCGCCGCAGUAA